ACGCGCAGGGAACUCCAUUUUCGCCUUGACGAUCAGAGCAGUUGCUGUAAGGCUUUUUACAAGGAGCUGUAUUUCGGAAAGUUGUAGUUUCAACGAUUUCAUUGAAGAUAUCCUGGCAUAUACAUCAUGUAAAGCGAAGUCAAACUCUAAAGUAAAAGUGAAAGUGAGACAGAUUUUUUUGUUUGAGGAAUCUUGGAGUGUUAUGAUUCAAACGAACUGAGGAGCUGUUUCUGCAAGGACAGGACGUACUUCUGGACAGGACCUGAGCCUUAGGACCAUGCCUCAGGACUACCUGGCCUGAUGACUCCUUGCUGUCCCCAGUCCACCUGGUCGUGCUGCUGCUCCAGUUUCAACUGUUCUGCCUGCGGCUAUGGAACCCUGACCUGUUCACCGGAUGUGCUACCUGUCCCAGACCUGCUGUUUUCAACUCUCAAGAGACAGCAGGAGCGGUAGAGAUACUCUGAAUGAUCGGCUAUGAAAAGCCAACUGACAUUUACUUCUGAGGUGCUAACCUGUUGCCCCCUCCACAACCACUGUGAUUAUUAUCAUUUGACCCUGCUCGUCAUCUAUGAACAUUUGAACAUCUUGGCCAUGUUCUGUUAUAAUCUCCACCCGGCACAGCCAGAAGAGGACUGGCCACCCCUCAUAGCCUCGUUCCUCUCUAGGUUUCUUCCUAGGUUCUGGCCUUUCUAGGGAGUUUUUCCUAGCCACUGUGCUUCUACACCUGCAUUGCUUGCUGUUUGGGGUUUUAGGCUGGGCUUCUGUACAGCACUUUGUGGCAUCAGCUGAUGUAAGAAGGGCUUUAUAAAUACAUUUGAUUGAUUGGUUGAUUGAACUAACAGGUUAUACAGCAAACAAUGCGAUUAUCACAACACAUAGGUUGUAAUAUGGCUUUUUUUCUGGCUUGUCUUCCCCAGUGAUUCUACCCACGCUACUGAUAUUACUGUAACGUUGUGCCCCUAUUGUACUGUCUUGCACUGAUUGUCCUGUAUACAAUAUCAUUUGUUCACAUAAAACAAGUUUUCCAUUCUA